AGUUGGGAGCAAAAUGAUAAAAGCUCUUAGUCUUUUUAGGUGUGGUGGGAUAUUUUGGCUUAGACUCACCAGUCACUACACAUCCUCUCAAUGCACAUUAUUUUAGAAGAAAGUAAAUCAUGGGGAGGCUGCUUUCCACUAAGGAACCAAAACACAGUUGGAAAGAUUUUGAUAAUCAAAUUAGUGAUAAAUUCCAGGCGAAAAGAAGGAAAAAGAAUUAUUUUUGGACCAACAAGGAUCAUGGGAGAGCAAGAACAAUUCCAAGGUGGUCCAAACCCUUCCACUUGGAGUCCAGGGGGGUAGCACUUAUUUAUUUUAUGUCUCUUAUUCAUUUUUUGUUAUAAAAUUGUUACAAUAGUUUGAUGCUUAAUUUGUGGUUUUAGUAAA